rnacentral:rRNA from 1 species
GGCUCAGGAUGAACGCUAGCUACAGGCUUAACACAUGCAAGUCGAGGGGCAGCAUUGGGAUAGCUUGCUAUUUCAGAUGGCGACCGGCGCACGGGUGAGUAACGCGUAUCCAACCUUCCUGCCAGUAGGGAACAGCCCGGCGAAAGUCGGAUUAAUGCCCUAUGUUCUUCAAUGCGGACAUCUAAGUUGAAGGAAAGAUUCAUCGCUGGCAGAUGGGGAUGCGUCCGAUUAGCUUGCCGGCGGGGUAACGGCCCACCGGGGCGACGAUCGGUAGGGGUUCUGAGAGGAAGGUCCCCCACACUGGUACUGAGACACGGACCAGACUCCUACGGGAGGCAGCAGUGAGGAAUAUUGGUCAAUGGGCGCGAGCCUGAACCAGCCAAGUAGCGUGCAGGACGACGGCCCUAUGGGUUGUAAACUGCUUUUAUGCGGGGAUAAAGUGAGGGACGUGUCCCUUAUUGUAGGUACCGCAUGAAUAAGGACCGGCUAAUUCCGUGCCAGCAGCAGC